rnacentral:tRNA from 1 species
AGAAUUCUAGUUAACUCAUAACAUAUGCUUGUCAAGCGUAAAUUACUUAAUAAAGUGAAUUCUA